rnacentral:rRNA from 1 species
CCUACGGGAGGCAGCAGUGGGGGACAUUGCACAAUGGGGGGAACCCUGAUGCAGCGACGCCGCGUGGGUGAAGGAGUAUUUCGGUAUGUAAAGCCCUAUCGGCAGGGAAGAAGCAAGACGGUACCUGACUAAGAAGCCCCGGCUAACUACGUGCCAGCAGCCGCGGUAAUACGUAGGGGGCAAGCGUUAUCCGGAUUUACUGGGUGUAAAGGGAGCGUAGACGGAAUUGCAAGUCUGAUGUGAAAAUCCGGGGCCCAACCCCGGAACUGCAUUGGAAACUGUAUUUCUAGAGUGUCGGAGAGGCG